CCACGCGUGGUGAAAUUGGUAUACACGCUACCUUGAGGUGGUAGUGGGCGCGAGCCUGUGCUGGUUCAAGUCCAGUCGCGUGGACCA
rnacentral:tRNA from 1 species